AUUCAUUUCCCUCUGUUGAAAAAAUCAUUUCACUCCACUGACCGUGAGCGUGAGUCAUUAUUCAUCAUCUUCUUCUACUCUUCUUUUUUUGAAUCACAGCUUCCAUGGCAGCCAUAUCUAACCUUUAGCACCACUUUACUUCAAAGUCUGACUUACCGCUUCGUUCUUCCCCUUUUGUCCCUCUCAACCUCUUUUAUUUGUUCACCUGGUGAGUUAUUGAGGAAGAAUUGAUGAAAGUUGUUGAAUUCUUUGAUGUUGUUGUGAAAUUGGCAGUGAAAUUAAAGACUGAAAAGGUAAGUUUUCCACUAUUAAUCUUUUUGUUGUAUGUACUACAUUUUAGAAAAUAUAGCCUAUAGCCACUAACUCAGCAAGUUGAGUUGCAAAGUCGGAAUCACAAUCACGCCGGAUCAGGAGAUUCUUCAAUUUCCAAGCCCUUCAAGUACAAUUCCACAUUCUUUACAGAGGCUCUGAAUUUUGGGUCGCUUUUUCUUGGAAAGAGAAUUUCAGUUUUUAGUUUUGUCUACCGAUAUUGGGCUGUGACUGAUUUUGGUGUUGUAUUUGUAUUAAGUAGUUGUUUUUGGAUAAAAGUUGCAACUGUAGUAUUGGAUACAAAAACCAAACUUAGGAAAUACUUCACCUCUAGAUUGAACUUUUGUAACUGACUUAGCUUUCUUCUAAUAUAUUUAAUAUUUCAAUUGCAAACUA